UACGGGGGGAGCAAGCGUUGUUCGGAUUUACUGGGUGUAAAGGGUUCGUAGGCGGUGCGGCAAGUCGGGAGUGAAAUCUCUGGGCUUAACCCAGAGGCUGCUUCCGAAACUGCUGUGCUUGAGUGUGGGAGAGGCGCGUGGAAUUGCAGGUGUAGCGGUGAAAUGCGUAGAUAUCUGCAGGAACACCCGUGGCGAAAGCGGCGCGCUGGACCACUACUGACGCUGAGGAACGAAAGCUAGGGGAGCAAACAGG
rnacentral:rRNA from 1 species